rnacentral:rRNA from 1 species
UGCGUAGGCGGAUAAAUAAGUCAGUGGUGAAAUCUUUCGGCUCAACCGGGAAACUGCCAUUGAUACUGUUUAUCUUGAGUUCGGUAGAGGUAGGCGGAAUGUGUAAUGUAGCGGUGAAAUGCUUAGAUAUUACACAGAACACCAAUUGCGUAGGCAGCUUACUAUGCCGACACCGACGCUGAGGCACGAAAGCGUGGGGAGCGAACAGGAUUAGAUACCCUGGUAGUCC